AUAAGCGGAGGAAAAGAAACCAACAGGGAUUACCUCAGUAACGGCGAGUGAAGCGGUAACAGCUCAAAUUUGAAAGCUCGCUCUUUUAGGGUUCGCAUUGUAAUUUGUAGAAGAUGCUUCGGGUGUGGCCCCGGUCUAAGUUCCUUGGAACAGGACGUCAUAGAGGGUGAGAAUCCCGUAUGUGACUGGGUGCUUUCGCUCAUGUGAAGCUCUUUCGACGAGUCGAGUUGUUUGGGAAUGCAGCUCAAAAUGGGUGGUAAAUUUCAUCUAAAGCUAAAUAUUGGCCAGAGACCGAUAGCGCACAAGUAGAGUGAUCGAAAGAUGAAAAGCACUUUGGAAAGAGAGUUAAACAGUACGUGAAAUUGUUGAAAGGGAAGCGCUUGCAACCAGACUUGCGCGCUGAUGAUCAUCCGGGCUUCUGCCCGGUGCACUCGUCUGCGCUCAGGCCAGCAUCGGUUUCGGUGGUGGGAUAAAGGCCUUGGGAAUGUAGCUCCUCUCGGGGAGUGUUAUAGCCCUCGGUGCAAUGCCGCCUACCGGGACCGAGGACCGCGCUUCGGCUAGGAUGCUGGCGUAAUGGUUGUAAGCGACCCGUCUUGAAACACGGACCAAGGAGUCUAACAUCUAUGCGAGUGUUUGGGUGUCAAACCCAUACGCGUAAUGAAAGUGAACGGAGGUGAGAACCCUUAAGGGUGCAUCAUCGACCGAUCCUGAUGUCUUCGGAUGGAUUUGAGUAAGAGCAUAGCUGUUGGGACCCGAAAGAUGGUGAACUAUGCGUGAAUAGGGUGAAGCCAGAGGAAACUCUGGUGGAGGCUCGCAGCGGUUCUGACGUGCAAAUCGAUCGUCAAAUUUGCGUAUAGGGGGCGAAAGACUAAUCGAACCAUCUAGUAGCUGGUUCCUG
rnacentral:rRNA from 1 species